ensembl:snRNA U4atac minor spliceosomal RNA
ACUUUCCUCGUCAUGAGGUUGAGGACUGUUCAAUGAGUGUAUGGUGAGAGCAGGCCUGCUAACACCAGAUCAACACAUUCGCACCUGACUUCUAGAACACAGAUAAUGAUGCAAUUUUUGUAAAU